rnacentral:rRNA from 1 species
AGAGUUUGAUCCUGGCUCAGGAUGAACGCUAGCUACAGGCUUAACACAUGCAAGUCGAGGGGAAACGACAUCGAAAGCUUGCUUUUGAUGGGCGUCGACCGGCGCACGGGUGAGUAACACGUAUCCAACCUGCCCACCACUUGGGGAUAACCUUGCGAAAGUAAGACUAAUACCCAAUGACGUCUCUAGAAGACAUCUGGAGGAGAUUAAAGAUUUAUCGGUGAUGGAUGGGGAUGCGUCUGAUUAGCUUGUUGGCGGGGUAACGGCCACCAAGGCGACGAUCAGUAGGGGUUCUGAGAGGAAGGUCCCCCANAUUGGAACUGAGACACGGUCCAAACUCCGUACGGGAGGCA